GAAAGCUGGAUACGGGAAAACUGUACGUCCAGUUUGAGCGGCGGACGGAGGUUAGCCAUCAGGCGCCUCCUCCGAUCCGAC
rnacentral:ncRNA from 1 species